rnacentral:rRNA from 1 species
UAAGCGUACACGGUGGAUGCCCUGGCAGUCAGAGGCGAUGAAGGACGUGCUAAUCUGCGAUAAGCGUCGGUAAGGUGAUAUGAACCGUUAUAACCGGCGAUUUCCGAAUGGGGAAACCCAGUGUGUUUCGACACACUAUCAUUAACUGAAUCCAUAGGUUAAUGAGGCGAACCGGGGGAACUGAAACAUCUAAGUACCCCGAGGAAAAGAAAUCAACCGAGAUUCCCCCAGUAGCGGCGAGCGAACGGGGAGGAGCCCAGAGCCUGAAUCAGUGUGUGUGUUAGUGGAAGCGUCUGGAAAGGCGCGCGAUACAGGGUGACAGCCCCGUACACAAAAAUGCACAUGCUGUGAGCUCGAUGAGUAGGGCGGGACACGUGGUAUCCUGUCUGAAUAUGGGGGGACCAUCCUCCAAGGCUAAAUACUCCUGACUGACCGAUAGUGAACCAGUACCGUGAGGGAAAGGCGAAAAGAACCCCGGCGAGGGGAGUGAAAAAGAACCUGAAACCGUGUACGUACAAGCAGUGGGAGCACAGAGCAAUCUGUGUGACUGCGUACCUUUUGUAUAAUGGGUCAGCGACUUAUAUUCUGUAGCAAGGUUAACCGAAUAGGGGAGCCGAAGGGAAACCGAGUCUUAACUGGGCGUUAAGUUGCAGGGUAUAGACCCGAAACCCGGUGAUCUAGCCAUGGGCAGGUUGAAGGUUGGGUAACACUAACUGGAGGACCGAACCGACUAAUGUUGAAAAAUUAGCGGAUGACUUGUGGCUGGGGGUGAAAGGCCAAUCAAACCGGGAGAUAGCUGGUUCUCCCCGAAAGCUAUUUAGGUAGCGCCUCGUGAAUUCAUCUCCGGGGGUAGAGCACUGUUUCGGCAAGGGGGUCAUCCCGACUUACCAACCCGAUGCAAACUGCGAAUACCGGAGAAUGUUAUCACGGGAGACACACGGCGGGUGCUAACGUCCGUCGUGAAGAGGGAAACAACCCAGACCGCCAGCUAAGGUCCCAAAGUCAUGGUUAAGUGGGAAACGAUGUGGGAAGGCCCAGACAGCCAGGAUGUUGGCUUAGAAGCAGCCAUCAUUUAAAGAAAGCGUAAUAGCUCACUGGUCGAGUCGGCCUGCGCGGAAGAUGUAACGGGGCUAAACCAUGCACCGAAGCUGCGGCAGCGACGCUGAUGCGUUGUUGGGUA